GUGGCUGUGGUGAAGCGGUUAAUACGUCGGAUUGUGGCUACGGUAUUCGAGGGUUCGAGACCCUCCAGUCACC
rnacentral:tRNA from 2 species